CUGUUCUGAGUUAUUACACGUGUCAUUCCUACUGUUCCAACUCACUCCGAUACUCAUUUUCUCAAGAGCUGUAGAAGAAGAGUAACAUCCACUCUACUACAUCGUGAGAAUAUGGUCCUCGCCUGGCGCCUCGUUCUGGUCGUUGCUAUGUUGAUGCCUGUGGUCAUGGGAUAUCCCGAUGUCUCCCAAGAAGCUGAUACGUGUAUUCCGGAUGACGCUUCGUGCCAGCGGCACGAGGAAUGCUGCAGCAAGUUCUGCUACUUCUCCUUCUUGGACCCGGAAGUGCAUUUUUGCUUGUAAUGACUUCAGGCUUACGAAUAAAGUAUUUCGACUAA